rnacentral:rRNA from 1 species
GACGUAGGGGGCGAGCGUUGUCCGGAUUUAUUGGGCGUAAAGAGCGCGUAGGCGGCCCGGAAAGUCGGAUGUGAAAACCCGGGGCUCAACCCCGGGCCUGCAUCCGAUACUCCCGGGCUGGAGGCAGGUAGGGGAGAUCCGAAUUCCUGGUGUAGCGGUGAAAUGCGCAGAUAUCAGGAGGAACACCGGUGGCGAAGGCGGAUCUCUGGGCCUGUCCUGACGCUGAGGCGCGAAAGCUAGGGGAGCGAACAGG